AAGGAGUGUAGGUCCCGGAGGGCGAAGGAGGAGACCGAGGGUAAGGGGGUAGUAGCCUCGGUUCAGGAGUAUGAUUCGGAGGUACUUCUAGUAUGCUCCGACUACUCCUCGGGUGGAGGUUCGGAGGUGAGGUCUCCACGUCUAGGUGGAGUUACCUCGGGUAGGAAGCUCAGGGGAAGAGGCGAGCGAGGGAAUGCCGGGUCACCGGGUAGAGUCGGUGAGGGUAGUAGCGCUAGGGGCGUUUCCUCUCGAGGUGGAGCACGUGCUUGCACGUGUUCCGAGCCUUCGGUAGAGUUUCUAUAGGUCGACUAGGGGGUCUUCACGGGGUAAAACCCGUGGAGAACCUUAGUCGGUAGGUAGGGGUCCGGGGUAGAGGUCAUAGGUCGCUUGAUCUUUACGGGGAUCAAGAGUUAGGUGUGUUAGUAUGACUCAAGGUUAGUCUCGGGGCAGUCGGGGUAGACUCGGGGGACGGGUAGAUGUCGGGGCGUGACCCUCGAGGGGCCAUUGGUGAGGUAUAGACUUCACCGGAGGGGGUCACUUAGACGGUCUAGGGAGUCAUACUAGUCUAGGUCUUAGGUAGCCUUCGGAAGCGGAGAUGUCGGGGGACACUCGCUUGGGUAGGUUAGGUGCGUCGUGUCACGCUGAGACGUGUUUAUGACACGCUCGGUAAGGACUCCUUUAGAAGGGUAGGUUCAAUACGCCUUGAACCAUGCUUAGAGGGGGAGUUACAUGGAAGUUACGGGAAUGAGCCUGCUAGGGUUGGCGUGGUUUGUUUUCCUUCGUGUUUUCUUUUCUUUGCAGGUUUUGCAGAAGAAGGUGGAGAUUUGUUGAGUCUUCAGCAAAUACUCUGAGCGAAGAAGAAGGUUUCAAAGCUUCGGGUUCGGUCAGAGGGUUCCAAAACGCGGAGGGGCAAUUCGGUCAUUUGGUUCUUUAGGGUAAAUGAAACCCUAAUGUUUGUUUGAGUCUCAGACUUCUGCGUUUUUCGGUUUUUUGGUGGUUUCUCUCUCUAGGUCGGCGAACUUGUGUUCUCCGGUGUUCGGGGUCGAUUUUCCGGUCGAUCUCCGGCAGCUCUCUUUGUGUAACCCUAGCAAACGCUGUUCCUCUUCCCGAGACGUAGGUAUCGAGUGUUAGAGCUCGAUACUGAACUCGUUAUUCCGCUGUCUCGUUUUUCUUUCUGUUCUUGAGAGAAUCGGAGAGAUCGGUGAGGGAUCGAGGUCGAAAUACUCUACAGUAUGAAUAUAUACAUAUAUAUACACACACAAAUAUACCGCAUAUAGGACGUAAAUAAUCACAUCACACGCACAUAUAUAGCAAUCACGUUGACUUGGAGGAGGAGAGAGUAUGCAUGCAUGUCAAUCACGUUGACUUUCACAAGCAUGACCCCGAGACAAGAUUUAUUAAUAUUAUUCCACGAAUUAUGCAGAGAUGUGUCAAAAUCCGAGUCUCUUAAUCAUAUGAACCACUCCCCUCAUCUGAAAGUCCGUUUUAGAAAGCAAAGACACACUUGUUUCUGGUUUCUUCAACUUCAGAACAACACGAGAGAGAGAGAGAGAGAGAGAGAGAGAGAGAGAGAGAGAUGGGAAGAGCUCCGUGUUGUGACAGGACAAAAGUGAAGAGAGAGGUCCAUGGUCUCCUGAGGAAGAUGCAAAGCUUAGGGAUUACAUUGAGAGAUGCGGAAAUGGUGGUAACUGGAUCACUCUCCCUCAAAAAGCCGGUCUGAGGAGAUGUGGGAAGAGUUGUAGACUUGAGACCGAACAUAAAACAUGGAGGUUUCACGGAGGAUGAAGAUCGGAUCAUUUGCAGCCUCUUUGCCGCCAUUGGAAGCAGGUGGUCAAUAAUAGCAGCUCAUCUGCCGGGAACUACAGACAACGACAUCAAGAACCAUUGGAACACCACGUUCAGGAAGAAACUCAU